CAGUCGCCGCGGGAAUACGUAGGAGGCAAGCGUUAUCCGGAAUUAUUGGGCGUAAAGCGCGCGUAGGCGGUUUUAUAAGUCUGAUGUGAAAGCCCACGGCUCAACCGUGGAGGGUCAUUGGAAACUGGAAAACUUGAGUGCAGAAGAGGAAAGUGGAAUUCCAUGUGUAGCGGUGAAAUGCGCAGAGAUAUGGAGGAACACCAGUGGCGAAGGCGACUUUCUGGUCUGUAACUGACGCUGAUGUGCGAAAGCGUGGGGAUCAAACAGGAUUAGAUACCCCGGUAGUCCCUGUCUCUUAUAU
rnacentral:rRNA from 1 species